AAGGUCAACCAGGUGGAGGCCUUCGGGGUUCGGCAAGAGCAGUUCUGUGAGCUGGCGGAGCCUGGCGUCUGCCUGCGUGACGUGGAGGAACCGCAGGCGGCGACCGCGGACAGAAUGUACAGGAUUUUUCAUGGGCCGAUCUGCUGAAUUCAGCCUAGGAGCUGAGACCAACAUCUGAGUCUCUUCAGCACACAAGUUUGAAAGAAGUCCUAGCAACUUCAAGCUCAGAACUACGGGUGGCAGCAGCUCCCUCUUGACGUCGAAGCCUCCCAUUCCAGAGAGAGUCAAGGCCUGGAUCAAACAAAGCCCACAAGCACCGAUGACUGAGCUGCUGACUACCCCCAGCAUCUCCAACUCAACCUCCUCUUUCUGCCUCUACCCAAAUUUUAAAACUUUCAAACAUGGGUUUAAAAAUGGUAAUGAGUAAAGUUGCAUCCAAGUGUAUCAAAUAAAACUAAAUAUCCAUAAAUGCUGUAAUAA
ensembl:lncRNA LINC03026 long intergenic non-protein coding RNA 3026